rnacentral:piRNA from 1 species
UCACCCCUUCCAAACCAGCUGGGUUCAGAGU